rnacentral:rRNA from 1 species
GUGGGGAAUAUUGGGCAAUGGGGGAAACCCUGACCCAGCAACGCCGCGUGAAGGAAGAAGGCUUUCGGGUUGUAAACUUCUUUUAUGAGGGACGAAGAAGUGACGGUACCUCAUGAAUAAGCCACGGCUAACUACGUGCCAGCAGCCGCGGUAAUACGUAGGUGGCAAGCGUUGUCCGGAUUUACUGGGUGUAAAGGGCGCGUAGGCGGGAUAGCAAGUCAGGUGUGAAAUCCGGGGGCUUAACCCUCGAACUGCACUUGAAACUGUUAUUCUUGAGUGAUGGAGAGGCAAGCGGAAUUCCUAGUGUAGCGGUGAAAUGCGUAGAUAUCAUCCAGAACACCGAUUGCGAAGGCAGGUGGCUGUACCUUAAUCGACGCUGAUGCACGAAAGCAUGGGGAGCAAACAGGAUUAGAUACCCCUGUAGUCC